GGCCUGGCGGGUGCUAUACAUGCAGUCGAGCGAAUGGAUUAAGAGCUUGCUCUUAUGAAGUUAGCGGCGGACGGGUGAGUAACACGUGGGUAACCUGCCCAUAAGACUGGGAUAACUCCGGGAAACCGGGGCUAAUACCGGAUAACAUUUUGAACCGCAUGGUUCGAAAUUGAAAGGCGGCUUCGGCUGUCACUUAUGGAUGGACCCGCGUCGCAUUAGCUAGUUGGUGAGGUAACGGCUCACCAAGGCAACGAUGCGUAGCCGACCUGAGAGGGUGAUCGGCCACACUGGGACUGAGACACGGCCCAGACUCCUACGGGAGGCAGCAGUAGGGAAUCUUCCGCAAUGGACGAAAGUCUGACGGAGCAACGCCGCGUGAGUGAUGAAGGCUUUCGGGUCGUAAAACUCUGUUGUUAGGGAAGAACAAGUGCUAGUUGAAUAAGCUGGCACCUUGACGGUACCUAACCAGAAAGCCACGGCUAACUACGUGCCAGCAGCCGCGGUAAUACGUAGGUGGCAAGCGUUAUCCGGAAUUAUUGGGCGUAAAGCGCGCGCAGGUGGUUUCUUAUGUCUGAUGUGAAAGCCCACGGCUCAACCGUGGAGGGUCAUUGGAAACUGGGAGACUUGAGUGCAGAAGA
rnacentral:rRNA from 1 species